rnacentral:rRNA from 1 species
AGAGUGAACGCUGGCGGUAGGCCUAACACAUGCAAGUCGAACGGCAGCACAGGAGAGCUUGCUCUCUGGGUGGCGAGUGGCGGACGGGUGAGGAAUACAUCGGAAUCUACCUUUUCGUGGGGGAUAACGUAGGGAAACUUACGCUAAUACCGCAUAAGACCUUCGGGUGAAAGCCGGGGGACCUUCGGGCCUGGCGCGGAUAGAUGAGCCGAUGUCGGAUUAGCUUGUUGGCGGGGUAAAAGCCCACCAAGGCGACGAUCCGUAGCUGGUCUGAGAGGAUAAUCAGCCACACUGGAACUGAGACACGGUCCAGACUCCUACGGGAGGCAGCAGUGGGGAAUAUUGGACAAUGGGCGCAAGCCUGAUCCAGCCGAUACCGCGUGGUGAAGAAGGCGUCGGUUGUAAGUACCUUCGUUGGUAAGAAUACCGCCGACUAAUACUACAGUAGGAGUGACGGGUACCAAACGAA